rnacentral:rRNA from 1 species
GAAUUACUGGGCGUAAAGAGCUCGUAGGUGGUUUGUCGCGUUGUUCGUGAAAUCUCACGGCUUAACUGUGAGCGUGUGGGCGAUACGGGCAGACUUGAGUACUGCAGGGGAGACUGGAAUUCCUGGUGUAGCGGUGGAAUGCGCAGAUAUCAGGAGGAACACCGGUGGCGAAGGCGGGUCUCUGGGCAGUAACUGACGCUGAGGAGCGAAAGCGUGGGGAGCGAACAGGAUUAGAUACCCUGGUAGUCCACGCCGUAAACGGUGGGUACUAGGUGUGGGUUUCCUUCCUUGGGAUCCGUGCCGUAGCUAACGCAUUAAGUACCCCGCCUGGGGAGUACGGCCGCAAGGCUAAAACUCAAAGAAAUUGACGGGGGCCCGCACAAGCGGCGGAGCAUGUGGAUUAAUUCGAUGCAACGCGAAGAACCUUACCUGGGUUUGACAUGCACAGGACGCCGGCAGAGAUGUCGGUUCCCUUGUGGCCUGUGUGCAGGUGGUGCAUGGCUGUCGUCAGCUCGUGUCGUGAGAUGUUGGGUUAAGUCCCGCAACGAGCGCAACCCUUGUCUCAUGUUGCCAGCGGGUAAUGCCGGGGACUCGUGAGAGACUGCCGGGGUCAACUCGGAGGAAGGUGGGGAUGACGUCAAGUCAUCAUGCCCCUUAUGUCCAGGGCUUCACACAUGCUACAAUGGCCGGUACAAAGGGCUGCGAUGCCGCGAGGUUAAGCGAAUCCUUUUAAAGCCGGUCUCAGUUCGGAUCGGGGUCUGCAACUCGACCCCGUGAAGUCGGAGUCGCUAGUAAUCGC